UUUUUUUUUUUUUUUUUUUUUUUUUUUUUUUUUUUUUUUUUUCU
rnacentral:ribozyme from 1 species